rnacentral:rRNA from 1 species
CACGUAGGGGGCAAGCGUUGUCCGGAUUUAUUGGGCGUAAAGAGCUCGUAGGUGGCUCGGUUAGUCGGGUGUGAAAACUCGGGGCUCAACCCCGAGACUCCACUCGAUACUGCUGUGGCUUGAGUCCGGUAGGGGAGCGUGGAAUUCCUGGUGUAGCGGUGAAAUGCGCAGAUAUCAGGAGGAACACCGGUGGCGAAGGCGGCGCUCUGGGCCGGUACUGACACUGAGGAGCGAAAGCUAGGGGAGCGAAUGGG